rnacentral:tRNA from 1 species
UGAUGAUGUUAAGUACUUUCCAACUUUUAUUAGCCCACCUGAAUAUAUAUUUGAGAGCAUUACAAUCUCAGGUGCAGCCGUGGAAAACGCGCAUUGGACAGCCAUGUCCACAACGGGGAUGUAGCUCAGUGGUAGAGCGCUCGCUUUGCAUGUGAGAGGCCCCGGGUUCAAUCCCCGGCAUCUCCAAGUCAAUUUUUUGUCUUUAUUUCAUUUUUUUGAACUUGAAAUAUAUUUUUAGAGCACAUCGUAGCUCUAAACACAUCGCAAAGACGGAGUUGUUUGCUCCGUGUGGCUGGCUGCCUGUGUGUGGC